rnacentral:rRNA from 1 species
CUGAUCCAGCCAUGCCGCGUGUGUGAAGAAGGCCCUCGGGUUGUAAAGCACUUUCAGCGAGGAAGAACGCCUAGCGGUUAAUACCCGCUAGGAAAGACAUCACUCGCAGAAGAAGCACCGGCUAACUCCGUGCCAGCAGCCGCGGUAAUACGGAGGGUGCAAGCGUUAAUCGGAAUUACUGGGCGUAAAGCGCGCGUAGGUGGCUUGAUAAGCCGGUUGUGAAAGCCCCGGGCUCAACCUGGGAACGGCAUCCGGAACUGUCAAGCUAGAGUGCAGGAGAGGAAGGUAGAAUUCCCGGUGUAGCGGUGAAAUGCGUAGAGAUCGGGAGGAAUACCAGUGGCGAAGGCGGCCUUCUGGACUGACACUGACACUGAGGUGCGAAAGCGUGGGUAGCAAACAGGAUUAGAUACCCUGGUAGUCCACGCCGUAAACGAUGUCGACCAGCCGUUGGGUGCCUAGCGCACUUUGUGGCGAAGUUAACGCGAUAAGUCGACCGCCUGGGGAGUACGGCCGCAAGGUUAAAACUCAAAUGA